AUUAACGAAUUGUAAUGGGGGUUGAUGCUGGCAAGCUAUCUUUUGGCUGCAUGUGCUCGCCUCCAACAAUCUUUAUCCACACACCUGUGCACCUUCUGAGGGAUUUUUGAGUAGAGAUUGCCCUCCGGCGAUCUUUCUUGGAUGUUCCCUCUUUACAUACACUGAUUAUAAUGUUGAACGUGCUCGUGCCGAUAUGGCCGUAAUAAAAUACAACUUUUAACAACGGAUCUCUUGGUUCUCGCAUCGAUGAAGAACGCAGCGAAAUGCGAUAAGUAAUGUGAAUUGCAGAAUUCAGUGAAUCAUCGAAUCUUUGAACGCAUCUUGCGCUCCCUGGUAUUCCGGGGAGCACGCCUGUUCGAGUGUCGUGAAAUUCUCAAGCUGUGGAUGCUUUUUGUAAAGUGUUCUCAGCUUGGUUAUUGGGCUUUGCCGUGUCCUUUUAGGGAAUGGCUGGCUUUAAAAGCAUUAGCUGACCCUCAUGAUGGCAUUGGUUCUACUCAGCGUGAUAAUAAACUGACCGCUGAGGACAUCUUUCGGGGUGGCCAAUUCUCGUUUGGGUUGCUCUCUAAUCUGGUUUAUGGGUCGCUAAUAACGAUCCGUUCCAUUUUCAGUUUGACCUCGAAUCAGGUGGGACUACCCGCUGAACUUAAGCAUAUCAAUAAGCGG
rnacentral:rRNA from 1 species